rnacentral:lncRNA from 1 species
CAGCCAAAAGACUCUCUUGACUGAAGACUUGGGGACUAUUGUUUAUACCAUACUUAGGGCCUCCAUAUUUAGAUCUCGUAUAAAUAAUCGGGGGACUUAAGUGUAAUUAUGUCAUAAAGGAAUGGGCAAAUAUGUAAUAAGUGAGGAGCCCUUAUUCUAUAAAAGGACUCAUCACUCUCCUCAUUAAGGGAGGCCAUUUCUUAAGCCUACUCACAUCCCCUAAGCUCUAAGCUCUCUCAAAGCUUUCACUCUCAUAUUCAGAGCUCUUUCUCCCUCAAAAAUACAAUAUCAGUGUGGACGUAGCCCAAACCUUGGGGUGAACCACGAUACAUCUUGUAUUAUUUACUUAUCUUGCAGAUUCACGGUCGGAUUUACGUUGUUCCAAGACCCCUCCGGUUUUGUGCAUCAACAAUAUUAACUAAUUGGUUCUUAACAAGUUUACCCGCUAGUAACCCAUUUGAACUCGAUAGGAAAAAAAGUUAGUUUGAUAAUUUUAAACUAGUAAAAAAAACUUUACUACGAUAGCCAUAGUAUUUAAUCUCACAUAAGAGAGUUAAAAAAUUCCAAAGGACAUCAAAAAUACCAAAACAAUUUAAAAAUAUCAAAGCACAUUGAAAAUACCAUAAUAAUCCAUUUAUAAGUGUGAAAAUUAUGCAAACGUAGGGAUAAAAAUACUUGCAAGAGUACAAGGUUAUCGUAAUAUAGCAGCUCAAAUAAGGUCGUUUUCCACAUGGAUUGUAUGAAUAAUUUGUAUUUAAACUAAGUGUUAGCUAAUUAUUUGAAACAAAGUUUUCAAAAGGUUGAUAUUGGAAUUUAAAAUAAUAAAAACGAAUUUAAAUAAAAACAAUUAAAUAAUUGGCAAAAUAAAUAAAGCGAAAGAAAACGGUUUUGGAAAGCAAUUUAAACACUAGGGUUUCGCCGUCACCACUAACAUUUCUAUGCAAUUUUACCAAUUAAUUAUGAAUUUCCACAGACAUGCUUUAAAGGUUAGGUUUUCCUAAUACAUAUUUUGCUCGUGAUGUUCAAGCAAAAAUGUAUAUCUAACAUGCAACCCGUCUAUGAUGUUUAGAUCAAAUAUAAACAUGCAAGACUCAAUAAGGUUUGUCAAAACCCUUUGAAAAAUCAUUCAACCCUUAAGAGCGUGAUGUGCGCCUUAAGUGAACUUACAAUUACUAAUCACAAAAAGCCCUCCUCAAUUUCAGGGUGAUGUUCCAACAUAUAUUUCAUCAAAUUACUUAUCUAAAUACCUUAAUGAUCGCGAAUCACUAAGACAAAUACAUAGUUUAAACACGGUGAUUAAUAAUUGAAAGCAAGCAUGCAUCCAUGCAUAAGCAAAUUAAUAAAAUCACAUAUUCAUGCUAAGGCUUGUGGCCUCACCCUAGCAAAAGGACUAGUUAUGAACAAUCAUAAUAAAAACUAAAGAAAAUAUCAUUAACUAGAAAAAUGAUUGAAAACACCUUGUAGGUAAAAAGUAUGAAAUUCUCCAAAAUAACGUUAAUGGCUAAAUAGCCUUAUUUAUACACAACUACAAAAUAAAACCCUACCUAGAAAAGUUCUUAGAAUAAAAACUAAAGGAAAUAUCAUUAACUAGGAAGCAUAAUAAAAUAAUAAACUAGCAAAUAAAAGGUUUCCUAUCUGAACUGAAAUUUGAACUUCUUAGAAAAUCAAACUUUGGACCGACCAAAUCGAUUUUGAUUUGGUCCCAAAAGGUCCCUUUUGAAAGCAUAAUUAAGUUGUCCCCAACAAAUCCUAGAAGGAAUCUUUCUCAAAAUAUGCCAUCUCAACCUCCAAAAUGCCCAAAACGUCCAUAAAUGUCAAUAUGGGAAAGCUGUGCAUUGGGCCUUUAUUUCAUUGCCACAGUCAAAUGACUCAGUAGAAAAAUCUAAAACUUUGAUACAGUCAUCUUGACAGACUCACAAACAUCCACCAAUUUGAAUCACUCUAAAAUUAGUCUAUUUGAUUACUUUAUGCUCAAGAUGAAGUCGAUAUGAUUCAAAGUAUCAAAAUACCAAUAAAUUAAUACUAAGAUUAGGGUAAAAUAUAUAGUAUAAUAUUGACUCAUCACUCACAUCUUCUACGCUUUGAUGAUAGGUACAUUGUCGUAUGAAUUUUAAAACCCUACAAACCCUCAUGAACAAUGUUUUUAGGGGAGUUCAAAAUAACACAAUUCAUAACAAUUAAAAGUGUGAAAAAUGAGAAGAAAACAAUACAAAAAGCUCAUGAUUGCAUCGUCUACACUUAGAUAAUGGUUACAACGUCAUUUACAUUUUUAAAACUCUCCAAACCCUCAUGAAUAGUGUCUAUUUUUUUAGUGCAAAAUUAAUUAAAAUUCAUAAUAGUAAUGUAGAAGUGUGAAAAUGUAAAAAAAAAAAUAUACAAUCACUCGUAAUGACAAGCUUUACAACUUUCGUGAAGGGAAAAACUCUAACAUUCGACACCAUAAUCCACAAACCCUAAAUUAUAUUUAACUAUCGAUUGUCAUUUACACUCGAUUUUUCUCACCAAAUUUCAUUUUUUAGGCUUUCUUUUUGAAAAUAUGAUCAUUUAUGUAGAAAUGAAAGGUUUUGAUCGUUGAUUUCAUAUUUUGAUGUUUAAGGUUAAGUUAAAUAUGAGUCGAUGUGAUAUAGUUUAUAGAGACUUUAUAAACUCCGAGCAAUAUUUUCACUAACCGUAAAAAUCUGAACGUGAUAUCAACAAUCCGAACUAAAUUUAGAGAGAAAAAUGCUUGUCAAUGAAUAGUUUUAUCCUUAGGCGGGUAAACAAAUCGGGCAAAAGGGUUGGAUCAAAUAGCAGCAUCUUACAAAUAAUGUGCAUGAUUAUUGUUGAUGCACAAAAUCAGUGAGGACUUUGGUACAACAUAAAGUGUUAAGUUUGUGACCUUCACUA